rnacentral:rRNA from 1 species
GAUGAACGCUGGCGGCGUGCCUAACACAUGCAAGUCGAGCGGCAGCGAGUUUCUCACUGUUUGCUCCUCUCGGUUUCAUUUGGAAUCGAUUUUUAGAGGAGUGAAGAGUGAGAAAUGUCGGCGAGCGGCGGACGGCUGAGUAACGCGUGGGAAUUUGCCCCAAAGUGAGGGAUAACCGCCCGAAAGGGUGGCUAAUACCGCAUAUGGUCUUCGGAUUAAAGGAUUUAUCCGCUUUGGGAGAAGCCCGCGUCAGAUUAGGUAGUUGGUGAGGUAAAGGCUCACCAAGCCGACGAUCUGUAGCUGGUCUGAGAGGAUGACCAGCCAGACUGGAACUGAGACACGGUCCAGACUCCUACGGGAGGCAGCAGUGAGGAAUCUUCCACAAUGGGGGAAACCCUGAUGGAGCAACGCCGCGUGCAGGAUGAAGGCCUUCGGGUCGUAAACUGCUUUUAUUUGUGAUGAAUAUGACAGUAGCAAAUGAAUAAGGGUCGGCUAACUACGUGCCAGCAGCCGCGGUCAUACGUAGGACCCAAGCGUUAUCCGGAGUGACUGGGCGUAAAGAGUUGCGUAGGCGGUUAGUAAAGCGAAUAGUGAAAUCUGGUGGCUCAACCACACAGGCUAUUAUUCGAACUCGCUAACUCGAGAAUGGUAGAGGUAACUGGAAUUUCUUGUGUAGGAGUGAAAUCCGUAGAUAUAAGAAGGAACACCAAUGGCGUAGGCAGGUUACUGGGCCAUUUCUGACGCUAAGGCACGAAAGCGUGGGGAGCGAACCGGAUUAGAUACCCGGGUAGUCCACGCCGUAAACGAUGGAUACUAGCUGUAGGGGGUAUCGACCCCCUCUGUAGCGAAGCUAACGCGUUAAGUAUCCCGCCUGUGGAGUACGGCCGCAAGGCUAAAACAUAAAGGAAUUGACGGGGACCCGCACAAGCGGUGGAUCGUGUUCUUUAAUUCGAUGAUAAACGAAGAACCUUACCAGGGUUUGACAUCCUUGGAAUUUUUGUGAAAGCAGAAAGUGCCUUUUGGAACCAAGUGACAGGUGCUGCAUGGCCGUCGUCAGCUCGUGUCGUGAGAUGUUUGGUUAAGUCCAUCAACGAGCGCAACCCUUGUGAAUAGUUGAAUUUUUCUAUUCAGACUGCCCCGGCAACGGGGAGGAAGGAGGGGAUGAUGUCAGGUCAGUAUUGCCCUUACACCCUGGGCUAGAAACACGAUACAAUGGUUAGUACAAUGCGCAGCGAAGCCGCGAGGUGGAGCAAAUCGCAUCAAAGCUAAUCUCAGUUCGGAUUGGAGGCUGAAACUCGCCUCCAUGAAGUCGGAAUCGCUAGUAAUCGCAGAUCAGCAAGCUGCGGUGAAUACGUU